GUAGAAUGGAGAGGAGAGGUAGAAUGGAGAGGAGAGGUAGAAUGGAGAGGAGAGGUAGAAUGGAGAGGAGAGGUAGAAUGGAGAGGAGAGGUAGAAUGGAGAGGUAGAAUGGAGAGGAGAGGUAGAAUGGAGAGGUAGAAUGGAGAGGAGAGGUAGAAUGGAGAGGAGAGGUAGAAUGGGAGGAGAGGUGGAAUGGAGAGGAGAGGUAGAAUGGAGAGGAGAGGUAGAAUGGAGAGGAGAGGUAGAAUGGAGAGGAGAGGUAGAAUGGAGAGGAGAGGUAGAAUGGAGAGGAGAGGUAGAAGAGAGGAGAG
ensembl:lncRNA